rnacentral:lncRNA from 1 species
GUUUAGACAUGGAUGUCUCCUCUUCUCUUUAUCCAAAAGUUGGACAAAAAUUUUACAUCUCUAUUGUAGAGAUUUGAUGCAUGGAUUUUAGGAAGAAAAAAGAAGAAAAGAUCUUCUCAUGAUCUCUAGCAUAGAAAUCAAGAUCCUCCUACAUCUUCUUAUUUUCUAAGAGUGUCUUAGGAGAAACGAAGAUUUUCAACCAUC